rnacentral:rRNA from 1 species
UACAGAGGGGGCAAGCGUUGUUCGGAAUUACUGGGCGUAAAGCGCACGUAGGCGGCUUUGUAAGUUAGAGGUGAAAGCCCGGAGCUCAACUCCGGAAUUGCCUUUAAGACUGCAUCGCUUGAACAUCGGAGAGGUGAGUGGAAUUCCGAGUGUAGAGGUGAAAUUCGUAGAUAUUCGGAAGAACACCAGUGGCGAAGGCGACUCACUGGACGAUUGUUGACGCUGAGGUGCGAAAGCGUGGGGAGCAAACAGG